rnacentral:tRNA from 1 species
AGAGAGGUGCCCGAGUGGUUGAAGGGGCACGCCUGGAAAGCGUGUAUAUCGGUAACGGUAUCGAGAGUUCGAAUCUCUUCCUCUCUG